rnacentral:lncRNA from 1 species
ACAAAUCUGCCUGCCUCUGCUUGGUGCCAGCAUUAAAGAGCUGGAGAUUAAACCUUGAACAUCCAGGCUACAGUUUGUCAACAAGAGAAGCCAAGGUGCCUGGAGGUGGUGGCACAUGCCUGUGAUCCCAGCACUCAGAAGGCAGAGGCAGAUGGAUCUCUGUGAGUUCGAGACCAGCCUGGUCUACAGAGGAGUUCCAGGACAGCCUCCAAAGCCACAGAGAAACCCUGUCUAAGAAAGAAGAAGAAGAAGAAGAAGAAGAAGAAGAAGAAGAAGAAGAAGAAGAAGAAGACAGACCCCGCCCACUCACAUUCUCUUAUCCUCUCUCUUUUACUCCUCUUACUCUCCUCUCUUCCUUUCCGAUCUUCUCUCUACCCCCCUCCCCC